GUGGGGAGUAUUGCACAAUGGGGGGAACCCGUGAUGCAGCGACGCCGCGUGGGUGAAGAAGCGCCUCGGCGCGUAAAGCCCUGUCAGCAGGGAAGAAAAUGACGGUACCUGAAGAAGAAGCCCCGGCUAACUACGUGCC
rnacentral:rRNA from 1 species